GGAAAUAUAUUUUAAAUAUAGAAAAUAUAAUUUGCAUUUAUAUAGUAGAAGGUUCUUCUUAUUUCUC
rnacentral:tRNA from 1 species